AAGAAGAGGAAGAGGAGGAAGACGAAGAGAAUGAAGAGGAGACUGAAGACAUGACGUCACGGGGCUCUGCAUGGUUGCUUAUUCACUGAGACCUCUUUCUCUCUCUCUCUCUCUCUCUCUCUGUACCGACAUUGUGAGUAUUGUUCAGCACGCAUUUCCACCGCCCGCGAGUGUUCAUCCCGGGUGGAGAAUGUUGCUCUUGUUCAUUACUUGUGGCGUUACAUUCGGAGAUAACUGUUGUCUUGCGAGGGUCAUGGAUUUUCGGUGCGCCAGCGUUCUUAUUUUCGUCGGCGCUCAAGUCGGUUUAACUCCAUCGCCUCUCUAACUCUGUCCUUUUCUUCCUGUCUCUCACGACGAGUCAGCUCUCCUCGAAAUACAUCGCCCAUUCGAUAAAGAAAUUCAAAAGAGGAGGAGUCCCGCGCCCUUAAAAAUAGAGCGCGAAGGAGCGAGGCGCAGGAAUUAGUCGCAGCUGGCAACCGCGAGGAGAGCGGGUGCGAGCGAGCGCAGGUCUUCGGCUCAGAGUGCCUCGGGAGCCAGUGAACGGCGGAGAGCCUUUGAAGCUCGGCGCAUCCACGACCUCCAAGUGGUUGCUAGUGUGUGUGAGUGUGAUGAGUGUUUUGGUGCAGUGGUGGAGAGGAUAAAGGUGCCAGUGUGAGGCGGCGUGGCGGCCUUUAGGCACCACUGAAGGAGUCGAGAGCACAAGCGCUGUCACUCCUCAAAACCCCUCCUCCCCCUCCCCCCUUUAGAAGUUGAUGCUGUUGGAGCUGAGUAACGUCCAGCAGGAGCAGUAGAGGCAGCAGAAGGAAAGGGGGACAGCCUCAGCAGCCAGAGGACGCUGAAAGAACUCCUUUCCCCCUUUCCAACGAAGACAAAAUAUUUUCGAGUACCUCCUUGGAGAGAAGAAAAAAUAAGUUUAAGAAAAAUCCAGACACAUGUGACUUCGCAAAUAUCACGAGGAGAAGCAUACCUGCGCCAGUGACCUUAGAGAAAAAAGAGAAAGAAAAAAAGUUCAACCAAGGUCCAAAGCUUUGUGACUUGAAGAGUGAGUGCGAGCCGUCAGUUAGCCAGGAGAAGAAACCACUUGGGUCGAGGAUGAGGGAGCUGCUCGAAAUGGCCAAAGGGACGCCAGGGGACACGAGGGGACUCAGGGGCCUCCUCAGCCUCGAGGACCACCCGGAUUUCAACGAGAUCUUCCAAAGCGGGAACGUCGAGGAUGACUACGACGUCGAGAAGGAGCCAAUCGCAAGGUAAGCAGGAUGGACGUGUGCACCAGAGGCUGAGCUUGGGACAGUACUUGCAGAACACACGGAAAUGACAGCUGCAGUCUCACAAGCAGCUGCGUAAGUUUUGUAAGGGGUUAUGUUUUUGUUUUUUUUUGUAUGUACGUGUGUGUGUGAGAGAUUCUCUGAUAACGAAGAUUAAUCGCUUCAAGUUUACGAUCUUUAUCAGUUGUGAAGGCUAUAUGAUUUCUGAUCUCGGAGAUUAUGCCAUGAUACUGAUACCGUCAGUAAUAACUACGAUUAUAAUAGCGGGCACACCAACUACUACUACUGCUGCUACUACUACUACUACUAUGCUGCUGCUGCUGCUGCUGCUACUACUACUACUACUACUACUACUACUACUACUACUACUACUACUACUACUACUACCAUCACCACGACCACUACCACCACUACCACUUUUGCAAAAACCGUUGCCCUUACCACACACCCUGACGACUUCCACCAGUAUAAUUAACAAAAGCAACACAAAAUCCUCGCGAAACAGCUGUUUAUCGGACUCCAGAAAAACCCAAGACUACGAAGCACGUGAUCGGAGUACAAUGUAAACAAAUCGCGACAUAGCAUUCAUUACCUCGCUCGAAGAGACUGUCUGUCGGGAGUUUUUUUUUUUUUUUUAAGUUUAGUUUAGUUUAGUUUUGUUUUGUUUGGAAAAGGGAGAAAGGUGGAGGAGGGGCAACAAAGCCACGAGAAAAAAUAAGGAGCAGGAAUAACAUUAGAUAACACAGAAGGAGACAGACACAAAAUAUAUAACGAGAACAAAUGGAAAAAAUACGAGGGAUAAAUACGAAAGCAAAGAGAAAGAGAGAAGAGAAAAGGAAGAACAAGAACAAGAGGAAAGGAAUGAGAAUAAUUGAAUGAAG